rnacentral:rRNA from 1 species
UACAGAGGUCUCGAGCGUUGUUCGGAUUCACUGGGCGUAAAGGGUGCGUAGGUGGCGCUGUAAGUCGGGUGUGAAAUCCUGAGGCUUAACCUCGGAACUGCAUUCGAUACUGCGGCGCUUGAGGACUGGAGAGGAGACUGGAAUUCAUGGUGUAGCAGUGAAAUGCGUAGAGAUCAUGAGGAAGACCAGUGGCGAAGGCGGGUCUCUGGACAGUUCCUGACACUGAGGCACGAAGGCCAGGGGAGCAAACGGG